UUUUUUAGGGAAAUGCAAGUUUCGAGUUACUUAUUUUGCGCGACUCUACCGAAAAACACCCACUUUUUAUAUUUCCAGUGUGCUUUAAAUGAUCCGUUUUUUUAUAUUCAGCAACAGCGAUCGUUUGGUUAUUGUAAACAUGUUCGGAAAAAUGUAUUUCACGGUGGACUGAAGGAGAUUGAGGGGAUCGAGUACGCGAGGCGGAUGUAGGAGCCUGUACUUGUGCUGAUUGUAAGCUGGUAAUUUUCCACGAGCCACGAAGGGGAGUGGUUGGUCAGAGUCAGGGUAUGAGACGCAUGGCAUGGGUCAGAGCCUGAUACAGUUGGCUUGUUAUGGUCUCCAUAAACUUAACUCCCGUGAAGUUAACUCCAAUAUGGCUGUGAUGUAUAAUAAACCCAUCGAAUCACUCGAAAAUGUAAUCAUAAAGUCCGUAAAGGUGCUUCACAGGGAAGUUUAACGCUCUCAUAUUCUCCCUGUCCUCCCUCUUUGUAAAUCACGUGACGCAACACAAUUUAAACGUCAUCUGAUGGAAAAAUACUGGAUUUUGUGUGAGCAAAAUAGUGUUUGUACCGAACAAAGAAUGAGGGGAAAUAAUAUAUUGUUUUGAAAUCAAGAAUUUCAUUUCAUGUCAUUUAUUCAUAUGCAUUUUUCAUAAAACUGUUACAUUUCAUAAAGUCAUGAUGUGUACUGCAUGUUGAAUAUCUGAUACAAUAUUUUCCUAUAGUCCAGCAUGUGGCUCAUUCUACACAUCUUUUAAAAUGCUUAACUAAAUAAGCAGUGUUACAGUAGUUUAGACCAGUAAUUUGGUAAAUUAUAUGCUCAGCCUUAACCAACAAACUGAUCUCCAGUGAAGGUGAACCUUUAAUUAAAAUGCCAGAUUUUAGGCUUAUUCUCAAACGGACACUAGCAUUGCAUUUUGUUAUUUAAAUGGGUACAGAAAUAAUUUGAUAAUCAGCUGUUGUGUGAAUCAGAUCCAUAUUUUAAAUCCUUUUUUAAAUAUUUUAUUACAUGUAGGUCCCAUGCAGCUAUACACUUUGGAAGUGUUGAGGAGGUUUGUGUUUACCUGACUGUGAGUAAAGUCAGUGCCACAACUUAAAUUUCUUGAUUUCCUUUCUUGCUUCCACCUAGUUUCCAGGAAUCACAGCAAAAUUCUCUGAACCCCAUGAAGGAUGAUAUCAAUGUUGAAUAAAUACAGUUACUGCAGUUUUUAUGAUAAAACAAUUAGUAUUUAAUGGAUAAAAUAAAAUGUAAUUUAGGCUAUGACUUCACUUUGUGUAACAGAAAACUCAACAUUAUUCCUUG